UCCAGCACGAGCUCCCCCCUCCCUUAAACGCUUUGCAGUAAAAUAGCAAUCAAACGGACUCAGGCCCUUUGCUCUGCAAAGCCCAGAAGGACAGUGUUGGACAUUGAUAUUGUCCAAAUCUGGACUAAUCCAGACUCGCAUUGCCACAGAAAAGGAUGCGGAGAAGGAAGAGAGGUUUCCAGUGUGUCAUACCACGAAUGAAAAUGAGCAGAUCGAUUUUUUGGUCGUCUUAACAAUAAAGGGAUUCAUGAGAGAGAAAAAAAACCCCAGCAAAAACCAACGAAAAACAGGAAGGACACGACUACACAGACACAGCGCCAGAACAGGAAGAGCAUAUUUUUUAACUCACAUACCUUUCGAUGUACAUAAAUUACGCAUCGACACACCUUGACACAAACAUACACGUACAAUAGAUAUAUACUUACGUAAGAAGUAAAAAGUACAUCGGGUUUAAAAUACGGAAAACUUCUAUACAAAACUUUUAUACACACACACAUAA